UUUGUCUUGGAGGAGUACAAUUGUGCUGUGUUAAACUGCGAGCAAGAAGAAACAUUACAUCAUUUAUUCUGGGGGUGUCAAUUCUCAAGGACGUGCUGGAAUUUCAUUUGCCCCCAAAGAUCUCCAAACUUGUCUGUUCUUGAGGCCUUCCAAGAUUUGAAGGAUAAAUUAAAGGUUCCUUCCUACAUGGAAAUCAUCAUUCUGGGUUCUUGGGCUAUCUGGAUUACCAGAAACAAUAAGAUUUUUGAGAACAUUCAACCUUCCUUCCACGGAUGGAAGCACAUCUACUUUGAGGAAUUGAAGCUACUUUCUCAUAGGAUCAAGAAUAAAUAUGUAGCUGAAUUCAACACUUGGCUUGACACUUUGUUGUCUUCUUGA
rnacentral:rRNA from 1 species